AGUGAACGCUGGCGGUAGGCCUAACACAUGCCAGUCGAACGGCAGCACAGUAAGAGCUUGCUCUUACGGGUGGCGAGUGGCGGACGGGUGAGGAAUACAUCGGAAUCUACUUUUUCGUGGGGGUUAACGAGGGAAAACUACCGCUAUACCCCAAUCCACCCUCCGGGUGAAAGCAGGGAACCUUCGACCCUUCCCGAAUUAAUUAGCCGGAUGUCGGAUUAGCUAGUUGGCGGGGUAAAGGCCCACCAAGGCGACGAUCCGUAGCUGGUCUGAGAGGAUGAUCAGCCACACUGGAACUGAGACACGGUCCAGACUCCUACGGGAGGCAGCAGUGGGGAAUAUUGGACAAUGGGCGCAAGCCUGAUCCAGCCAUACCGCGUGGGUGAAGAAGGCCUUCGGGUUGUAAAGCCCUUUUGUUGGGAAAGAAAAGCAGCAGGUUAAUACCCCGCUGUUCUGACGGUACCCAAAGAAUAAGCACCGGCUAACUUCGUG
rnacentral:rRNA from 1 species